rnacentral:misc_RNA from 1 species
GGCUUUUCAAUGGACCUGAUGCAGUGCAUCCUGGUAUUGUAUUGAUGACAAGGGUGGAUUGUGCAUUGAAGAUAAAUAAUAAACUUUGUGAUAGAUUUUCGGUGAGUCAUUAUCCCAUGCUAUUUUGGGGUCCACCUGUCCAAAUUUGUAUCUGGCAGUUGGGAACCUAAAAAAGAGAAAAGUGAAAUUCUUGUAAUUGAUGAUGGACGGACAGCAGAACGCUUGCUUAAUUGGAUCAAUAAGCAGUUAGGCAGCUCAUAUGGUUUGGAUGACGAGAAGUUUGAAAAUGAGCAUCUUCCAUC